UACGAAUGUGGCGAGCGUUGUUCGGAAUCACUGGGCGUAAAGAGUACGUAGGCGGCUUGACAAGUCAGGAGUGAAAUCCCCAGGCUCAACCUGGGAAUUGCUUUUGAAACUGUCUCGCUAGAAUGUCGGAGAGGUUGGCGGAAUUCCAAGUGUAGAGGUGAAAUUCGCAGAUAUUUGGAGGAACACCAGUGGCGUAAGCGGCCAACUGGACGACUAUUGACGCUGAGGUACGAAAGCGUGGGGAUCAAAC
rnacentral:rRNA from 1 species